rnacentral:rRNA from 1 species
GACGAACGCUGGCGGCGUGCUUAACACAUGCAAGUCGAGCGGUAAGGCCCUUUCGGGGGUACACGAGCGGCGAACGGGUGAGUAACACGUGGGUGACCUGCCCUCAGCUCUGGGAUAAGCCUGGGAAACCGGGUCUAAUACUGGAUAUGACUCCAUGACGCAUGUUGUGGGGUGGAAAGCCUUGUGCGGCUGAGGAUGGGCCCGCGGCCUAUCAGCUUGUUGGUGGGGUGANGGCCUACCAAGGCGACGACGGGUAGCCGGCCUGAGAGGGCGACCGGCCACACUGGGACUGAGACACGGCCCAGACUCCUACGGGAGGCAGCAGUGGGGAAUCUUGCGCAAUGGGCGAAAGCCUGACGCAGCGACGCCGCGUGAGGGACG